rnacentral:misc_RNA from 1 species
GCUAUAAAUCGCACAUAAAUACAACGACUACGUGUAUUAUUCAAACAGAAUGCGAUUUAAUUGUAGUUUAAAAGGCGUUUAUAUUUCCCUGCACCACUACUAGAUGUCAGUACCUGCAAAUCCCUACUUCCUAAAAACAAAGUACUUCCGGGCGAUGUACGAACUGUAUUGUUUGGUUCGUGUUUUAGUUUUUUAAAAUCUACGUAAAGUUUUGGCGUUGAAUAUAGACAAUGUCAGAAAAAGUCGAUCCUUUGUUGAUGGAGGUUAAAAGCAAGUUUGAUGCCGAGUUCAGAAGAUUUUCCAUUGACAAGAGCCGGCUGACGACAUACGAGGGCUUUCACAAGCGUGUCGAACGGCUGCACUGCCUCAAGGAGAUUCCUUUCACUGUCUGCUACACAGACCCGAUACACGGUGACUUGCUGCCAAUAAACAACGAUGAGAACUACCGCAAGGCGUUUGAACGAUCAAAGGCGCUGCUCAAACUGCUCGUGCAAAGAAAGGGUGAGGACAUGGGCAUCGUGACGGGCUACGGCAAUGUCACGCGCCGCGGCGGCAAGCUGACGUCGCUCGUCGGUGGCGCCCCCGCCGCGGUGCGCCGCCCGGCGAUCGUCAUCGGGCAGCCCGAGGAUUUUCGCCGCGUGUCGGCGAUCAUCGACGUCGACGUCGUGCCGGAGACGCACCGGCGCGUGCGCCUCAUCAAGCACGGCUCCGACAAGCCGCUCGGCUUCUACAUCCGCGACGGCAUCAGCGUGCGCGUGACGCCGCGCGGACUCGAGAAGCUGCCCGGCAUCUUCAUCUCGCGGCUCGUGCCCGGUGGGCUCGCUGAGAGCACGGGCCUGCUCGCCGUCAACGAUGAGGUACUCGAGGUGAACGGCAUCGAGGUCGCGGGCAAGACGCUCGACCAGGUGACCGACAUGAUGGUCGCCAACAGCCAGAACCUCAUCGUCACCGUGAAGCCAGUCAACCAGAAGUACAACACAGCGCCACGACGCGGCUCGCCGAGCCGCUCGUCCAACGUGUCGUCGGCGUCGUACCACUCGGCGACGAACGCGCUCGUUAGCGAUGACGAGGAUGAUGAGGACAUCGUUAAGGAGUUCAUCCCGGCAACUGCGGCCUCGGCGAACGAAGGCGACGGCAGGGCAGAGACGGCCGCAAUGGUGACGUUGUAGGAGGACGCCGUCGCCGUGGGGAUGAGUUCCGAGGAAGCAGUCACCACGGUGACGGUCUUUGGGUGAGGAGGAGGCGAUCACCCUGAUCACAGGUGUAGGGUGAGGAGGGAGUGGCCAUGCUGACUUAGGGUGAUGAAGAUGUGGAAGUUGUCUUGGUAACUUUGUAGUUCAAGAAUGAGGCAGAAGAUAGAAAUGCUGGCCACAUCAUAUAUCAGUUCCAGUCGUAGGAGAGGUGAAUCUGGGUUUUAUAACGAUGGUUUUGAUGGGUGUUUUUUUAAUUGUUCGUGAUGGGAGAUAUUUUUUAUCUGGAAUGUCCUGACAUUGGUCGCCUUUCAUGUUGGUUGUUGUUCUGCAUAACUUUGCCCUAUUGUUAAGGUACAGUGUCAGUGUAGUGAAGUGCUGUCAUCUUUUAUAUACAGAUAAUUAAUUAAAUGUGACUGUUUAGGCACGUUGCAUAGCUGAUCGAUGAGAGUCAUGCUGAGUGAAUCUGGCUUGCCACAGUGAAUGAUUCUCAUUGAAUAUUAUUUGUACAACCUCCACCUUUUGCCAAACCUCACAAGACCGUAAUGGGAGUUGUUUCUAAUAGAUUAUUCUUGUACAUGCUUUUUCAUGAGUUGCUAUCAGACUCACUGUGCUGGGCACGUUGGCUCAUACUGUAUGAGCCUAAUGAUUAUGGAGUGGCUAAGAUGUUAGUCGCACUUGUGUAGAUAUUUAGCUCGAACAUGUUAUGCCGACGGCAUGUCAACAGUUCUAUAAUGUUUGUUUUUUAAAUGGUUGUAGGAGAGACAUUGAUCCUAAGUACAUUCUAAUACACUGACUUGAGUAAAUUUAGGUGCAUCUUAGCACAUUCGAAAACACUUGAGUGAAUUCAGGUGCACCUGAGUACAUUUGAACAUACUUGAGUGAAAUCAGGUAGACCUGGGUACAUUUGAAGAUAAUUGAGUACAAGUAGGAACACCUGAGUACAUUUCAGGAAACUUGAGUGCAAUUGGGUGCCCCUGAGUAGACGUUAAGACACUUGAGAACAUUCUGAUACACCUGAGAACAUUUAAUGGCACAUGAGUAAAUCCGUGUACAUCUGAAUCCAUUCGAAGAUACGCCGGUACUUUUGUUGUGAUUCAGUUGUAACGAGUGCACGUCGCCGCGUCUUACUCCCGUCUGCACGUGAUGUUCAUCCUUGUGUCACCAAGGUGAUACAGACUCAUCGUACGUCACGCACCAGCAUCCUCACCAAGGCUUGUGUGACCGAAUCGAACAUAAUGUCGUCCGUGAUGUCUGACGUCGUCUGUGACUCAGUCCGUGAUGCCAUCUGUAACAUAAUCUGUGCUAUCGUCCAUGGUGCCCGUGACUUCGUCCACGCCAUCCGUGAUAUCUGUGAUAUCCAUGUUGUCAUCCGUGAGGUCAUCCAUGAUGCCCAUGGCAUGACAGCGUCAGUGAUGUCCGUAACAUUAUCUGUAACAUCUAGGACAUAACAUUGUCUGUAGCGUCGAUCGUGACAUCACUUGUGACAUCAUCCGUGACGUCCUUGACAUCUGUGAUGCCAUCUGUGACAUCCGUGACAUCAUCUGUGAUUUCAUCCACGGCGUCAUCUGUGACAUGAUGCAUAACGCUGUCAGUGAUGUCGUCCGUGAUGUCUUCUGUGGCACGAGUCACCAGGCGACUGCUCGUACGCAUUCACACACGGAUGCUUCAAUCAGAGCAACGGCCGCAGCAUUGCCGGCUGAGCCGAUAGUUGUUGGUGAUUUCACCCCAAUAUGCAUUUGCUAGAGAACCGUCGGACUAAGGAAGAAUCUAGUUGUCACAGCAAUCUCGGAUUCAAGGUUGCCGAAAGGGUUGAAAACCCAGUAGCAGUGGCAGCGCGUUCUGCCUUGUAUAUAAUACUCAUAGCCUCCUCCCGUGAUGCAAUCAUGAUAAAACCAGUUUCGUUUACCUAUAGCUGGGGCAUCGUCGUUGUAGCUAUUGCUAUUUUUGCAAACGAGGCCAAUUUUUAUCAGGGUCCCCAAUACAAGUGCAGUGGUUUUCUAUCGCCGCGAUGUUGUUCCUAAUGUGCAUGUGAACAGCAAUGGAUAACUCUUUAUAACCAUUGGGGAUUGCGAAAGACCUUGGAUGCGUUUUAGCUACACUGGGGAGGGGGGUGGAGAGGGGCCAGAGUGACAUGGUUAUCAAAUGACCGAUGGUUUCAUACCUACAGUUGAGGUGAUGGUACAGCAGCCGUGUGUGGAGGUCUAUGUUACUGUCAGUAGAUGUACAACAGCAAGGUGUGGAGGUCUAUGUUACUGUCAGUAGGUGUACAGCAGCCGUGUGUGGAGGUCUAUGUUACUGUCAGUAGGUGUACAGCAGCCGUGUGUGGAGGUCUAUGUUACUGUCAGUGGAUGUACAACAGCCGUGUGUGGAGGUCCAGCGGGUCUGUCCCUAGUAUAUCAGUAGCAUCAAAUUACAAGAUUAAAUCGGCGUCUUGUGUGCGAGAUGUUAAUAGAUAAUUAGUGAGUUUCUGGUAUAUACGUGUCAUAUUUAUAUAUUGUUUUUAAGUACGUGUUCUCCCCCUCCAGUGCGACCCUCGCCCCACGCUAGCAGCAUUUGUAGUUAUGUGUAUGAUUAUUAAUAAUAAUUAAAUCCUUUAUAUUCUGUAUUAUAUAUAUAUACCCAUAUAAGAGACUUUGUAACCGUCGCGACUUGAUGCAGCUCUACGUAUGCACGCGUGUAAUCGAUGUGUGGUUUUCUAUGUGGAAAUGUAGCCCUGUAAAGACAUAUACUCCUGUUUACAGCGCGGCACUAAUAAAAAGCACAUUUUCUGUGCUAUCUGGUGUCAAAUUUGUAUUAAACAUAGUAUUUUAUCAAUAAAAACUGUUAUGUAAAAAGAAAA